CACACACACACACACACACACACAAUCACACAGUCUUACUUCCUACCCAUCCCUCCUCUCUACGCCGGGCAGAUCACUAUCACAGCUGUAACUGAGGCAAGGAAGCCGUAAACACGGCAGACCCAGUCUCCAUGGUGGCAGAAGGGGGCACUGGAGGUGACAACAAUGGAAAAGGACCUUUAUUCUGACAAGUUUUAGAUACUCUAGGCUGAUUGAAAAGUGGAUGACUUGACUCUUCUGUAAUGACUACGUUGAGAACAGAAUGGCUUCAGGGAAUACAUUCAGCCAAUCCCCCAAGAACACUGCCCUGGGGUGAAACAAAUACCUUUGCGGUUUAACUCAGGAGGAAUGAGUGCUUCACCAGGUGUUUGGGAGAAAUCUACCCGUGGCCACGGAGGAUUGGAUCCCCUAGAGCCAUGGAGAGUUGGCAGCAAAAUUUUGCCACAGCUUUUUAUCAGGUCUGGUUGAGAGAAAGAGAGAGAGAGAGAAAUCCCCAGAAGGGACAUGUAAAUCAUGUGUGAAGUUGACUGAAGAUCAUUUUUGACAUCACUUGCCAUAUUACACUGUCUGUGGCUGUUCCCCUUCUCUACAAGUUUAUUUACAGAUCCCUUCAAAACCCACAUUUAUAAAUGAAGAAACCAGAGCCUAAUGAAGGGAUGCCACUUGCCCAAGACAUCUUGUAGGUUCUUCUCAAGCACCCCUUAAGCUUCGUUAAUGAGGUCCGUUGUGGAAUAUCUGGUGCAUUCCCAUGUUGGGAAUAAAAAUCUCACCCCCCUGAAACUCUGACUGAGAAGUCAACAAAGUUGAAAUUCACGUCACCCAUGGGAAAGAUCAUUUCUGCUAGAGAUUUAAAAAUUUGAUUUGGAAAAUCAUUUGGAAAGUGUAAACCAUGUUGUUUCCCAAACAAGAAAGAAAGUGCCUGGGAAUAUCCCUCAACAGAAGAAAUCCUGAUUGGAAUGGCAUUUGUGGGGUUACUUUCUGGAGCCCAAGGACUCCUGCCGUGCUUGGAGUGUGGAUAACACUCAAGGAAAAUGUGGAUUUGGGCCUCUCCUCUGACAUGUAUUGCUUGAGGAAUGGUGGUGUGGCCCAGGCUUUGGAUGGAGUCAGAGGAUCUGGGCUUACUUCCCACCACUGAUGCUGUCUCUGUGACCUUGGGGGCUCCUACAAGAGAGUGUCAAGUCUGAAUUGCCAGUCCCCAAAGACCUAGUUGUGAUUGAAACUGGGCUUGCUCUAGAGAGCUGUGCACGCAAAGGCCAGGAGGGUAAAAGUUUGAGGAAUUCACUCCCAAGAACAACUUUUCUACAUGGAAAACAAAAAUGUGAAACAGGGAAGGCAUCAUCAGAAGAUGUUCACCUGGAGAAACUCAUUGAGACUGUGUCUUUGUUUACAAUUUUUUUUUUGACAAAGCUCUAUUUUGGUUUCUUAAACUAUUCAUGGCAUUAAUUUUUUUUUAAAAAAAUGCAUGCUCUAGCAUGCACACAGAGAGAUAAAAAUGUUUCUGCAAAAGAGGGGUGAACAUGAAGAACAGGUACUCUGAUGAGCAAAGCUUCCUGUGAACCAAAGCUAAAUAGUAAACCAAACUCUCUCCAUUGCUAUGGCAGCUUCAUAAUGGAGCUCACCUUCCAGCAGUCCUAAAUAUGCAGAGUUCCUGGUGAAGGGCCUUGGGUGUUGAUUCUAGAUUGACUCUUAUUGGGAGCUUAGCGAAAUGGCGGCAACAUCUCCCUCAUAGCAGAUACACUGUCUUAUAUGGCAUGGGUGAAGAUUUUAAUUGCUCCUUAAAAUGAUGAUGGCACCACUGGACAGCAGGAAGCACUUAGUGUACUACAUUUGGAAUUCUUCAGGUUCCAUUUCUCUUGAACAGCUUCCUGGCCAAAUAGACACUGAGGCUAAUAAUGAGGAGUGAGGGAAGGGGGCCAGGGCCAUGAGGGUUAUCUCACAGUCCCAGAUGCUGGAUAAGUUGGAGGAGGCGGAAUCACUUUUGGAUGACAUUCAGAAAGGCCUGAAUGCUUAUUGGGAGAAGAAAAGACUAUUCUUUCCAAGGUAAACAGUUCAUUUCAUGUACCAGCUGUACAGAUCAGUAUAAAACAUGUUUAUAUGAAGAGAUCCACAAAGUUCAUUUUUCCCCCUUAU